AGCUCCCAGAUUCAUCAGAAUUAUUCCACCGACGUGGAGGCAGCCACUAACCUCCUGGUCAAUUUGCAUCAGUGAGCCUCUUCCACCCACUCUCGCUGGGCUUCUGUCUCCAUCAUGAUGAUGUGGCUCUGGAAGCUGUGGGCCACUUCUAUGAAUUGGACAAGGAGAAGCACGGAGCUCCAAGCAUCUCUUGAAGAUACAAAACCAGUGUGGCAGCAGUGCUGUAUUCCAGGACAUCCAUAAGUCACCUCAAGAUGAGUGGGGUAAAACCCUGGAUGCCAUGGGAGCCGCCACGGCCUUGGAGAAGAAGCUGAACCAGGGUCUUUUAGAUCUUCAUGUCCUGGGUUCUGCCCACACAGACCUCCAUAUCUUGACUUCCUGGAGAGCCACUUCCUCAAUGAGGAAGUGAAACUCAUCAAGAAGGUGGACAACCACCUGACCAACCUUGAUAGGUUGACUGGCCCCCAGGCCAGGCUGGGCAAAUUCCUCUUCCAAAGGCUCACCCUCAGGCAUGAC
rnacentral:lncRNA from 1 species